CUGGCUCAGAACGAACGCUGGCGGCAGGUCUUAGGCAUGCAAGUCGAACGGAUGACAAGGGAGCUUGCUCCUGAAGUCAGUGGCGCACGAGUGAGUAACGCGUGGGAAACUGCCCUUCACUGGGGAAUAACGUUUGGAAACGAACGCUAAUACCGCAUACGCCCGCAAGGGGAAAGAUUUAUCGGUGAUGGAUGUGCCCGCGUUGGAUUAGCUAGUUGGUGGGGUAAUGGCCUACCAAGGCGAUGAUCCAUAGCUGGUCUGAGAGGACGAUCAGCCACGCUGGAACUGAGACACGGUCCAGACUCCUACGGGAGGCAGCAGCUAAGAAUAUUGGGCAAUGGAGGAAACUCUGACCCAGCCAAUGCCGCGUGAAUGAAGAAGGCCUUCGGGUUGUAAAGUUCUUUUAGUCAUGAAGAUGAUGACAGUAGUGACAGAAAAAGCACCGGCUAACUUCGUGCCAGCCGCAGC
rnacentral:rRNA from 1 species